UCUCAGGUUACCAGACUGCCACGGCUGCCUUCCAGAGUCAGGGCUCAUUCUUCACUAUUAUACAGUAAUGCUGUCUGAUGGAUAAGGAGGAAAACAGUGAGGAUGCUAACAAGGGCUUCUGGUUUCACCUAAGAUACGCCCUGACAGGUCUUGAAGCAGUAGGGUGGCCAGCAGAAAGUGAUCUUCAAGUUCUUGCCAAAACUAAGAGCCUAAACCAGAACUCAGUGUGGAAGAAGGAAGCUAUAAACCAUCCAUAUUUUUAGAGUCAAUUUAAAUUUAGAAGAUGAGAAGGACUUUCUCUUUACCUAAACAACAAAGUCCGAAUGGCAGUUCUUUAAAUGACAGCUUGUAUCCUUGGCCUCUGCUGAACCCUACUUCAGAAUGAAUCAUGCCGUUUGCCAACAAGUGGAAUCAAGGUGGGGUCACAAGGCAGAAAACCACCUGGAGUUAUGGCAGUUCAGUGUUAACAGCUGUGGAGCCCAAUUCUGUGCCAGGCACUAUGCUGACAGCUAAAGACCCCAAGAUGAUUGACACACCAUUGCUGCUACUAUCCAGGGAAGCCACGCGAACUGGCCAUUGUGAUGCACUGUGGUAGCUGCUGUGACAGCACAGAGGUCACGGUGCAUGGAGGCACUCCUUUCUACCUCAGCCUAAAGGCCUCCUGGAGGACCUGACCCCUGAGUAAAAACAGUGCAGAGGCUCGCUGACCUGGCUGUUACAUCAGAAUCAUAAGAAGCCAUUGGGACGAUCAGAUUGCAACAAUGGAUCUGAAUGUAUUGGGAAACCAUGAAGGGCUACGCAAAGAUGAAAACAUGGAACCAGGAAAAACAGUCUGGGAUGAAAGAGUGAAUGAACAUCAGACCAGGCUGAGAAUGCAAAAACAGUCCCGCUGUCAACAGGGCUAGGGGGACGACAGACAUAAAGCCUACUGCAAAGAUGGCAGGAAACUAUGUUUCCCUCAAGGUCUUACAGCCGCUGUAAAAUGCCAGAAAAGACACCCUCUUUGAGGGACCACUGCUUUUCUGCCGAUGUUGCCCUCUGAUCUGCUUUGCUAUGUCUUCUCCUCUGAAUAAAGAUUACUGGGGACACUA